UAAUUGAAUGUAAUAGAAGCAAAAUGGCAGGUUCUGAGUGCUAAGCUAUGCUAUAUAAAAAUUCCUGAAAGUUAGAUACUUGAAACAAGCAACUCUGUCCAGAAUCCACAUGACAAAAAGUCAAAAUUGUAAAGAGCAAAACAAAAAAUCAAUAGAAAAUUUCCAAAAUGUGUAGAAAAACAUGAAUUGGGCACAGUCAGCCAGUAAGGACUGAACCCUAAAAAUGCAUCCUAAGGUAAAA
rnacentral:misc_RNA from 1 species